rnacentral:rRNA from 1 species
GGCUUCGAGACGGGCCAGAAUGGUCAACUCUUUGGACACUCGUAAACAGGUGGUGCAUGGUUGUCGUCAGCUCGUGUCGUGAGAUGUUGGGUUAAGUCCCGCAACGAGCGCAACCCUCGUUCUAUGUUGCCAGCACGUAAUGGUGGGAACUCAUGGGAUACUGCCGGGGUCAACUCGGAGGAAGGUGGGGAUGACGUCAAAUCAUCAUGCCCCUUAUGUCUUGGGCUUCACGCAUGCUACAAUGGCCGGUACAAAGGGCUGCAAUACCGUAAGGUGGAGCGAAUCCCAAAAAGCCGGUCCCAGUUCGGAUUGAGGUCUGCAACUCGACCUCAUGAAGUCGGAGUCGCUAGUAAUCGCAGAUCAGCAACGCUGCGGUGAAUACGUUCCCGGGUCUUGUACACACCGCCCGUCAAGUCAUGAAAGUCGGUAACACCUGAAGCCGGUGGCCCAACCCUUGUGGAGGGAGCCGUCGAAGGUGGGAUCGGUAAUUAGGACUAAGUCGUAACAGGGUAAGCCGUA